UUUCCUUAGACUGCGUGUUUC
rnacentral:piRNA from 1 species